UACGUAGGUGGCGAGCGUUGUCCGGAUUUACUGGGCGUAAAGCGUGCGUAGACGGUAGCGUAAGUCAGAUGUGAAAGCCCCGGGCUCAACCUGGGAACUGCAUUUGAGACUGCUCUGCUCGGGUGCGGAAGAGGGAAGCGGAAUUUCCGGUGUAGCGGUGAAAUGCGUAGAUAUCGGAAGGAACACCAGUGGCGAAAGCGGCUUCCUGGUCCGACACCGACGUUCAGGCACGAAAGCGUGGGGAGCAAACAGG
rnacentral:rRNA from 1 species